AAGCUAUAAGGGAAAACAGCUAAUGAGGUGCUUUCAUUUUUUGAUAUGCAGGAAUUAGUUUUGAAGAGGUGCUGAGCUUAAUGAUUAUGAGACAAUAAUUUUCAGAUUAUGUGGGAAUCAGUACCAACAACACUUUUAACAAAAAGUUUACCAAAUACUAAACUGAUAUAUCUCACGGCUGAUUUCUCUCAUAGCAAAUCUGAAAGCGAAUAUUUUCACAGCACAACAAUGCCAAACUGGCCCUAAAUCAACCCAAAAGAGAAAUAAAUAAUAUAUAUAUAUAAAGCAAAAGGUAGAGAAUGGUGAAACAUUCAAAAUACCAGAAAAUAUCCUUGGUUAAUUUAAAUAUUAAGAAUUGAAAUUAUUAAUUAAAUGAGGAUAAUAAUAUGGUAAAUUCACAUUUUUCAUAUUAAAAAAAUUAAAAUUAAAAAAAAAUCAGAUAAUAUGUCCUACUUUUAUGGAACAUAACUGCUCAUGUUAUUUUUUAUUAUAAAUAAAAUAAAAAAGAAAAAAGAAAACCAGAAAAUGCGAAAGGCAGAGAAUGGUAAAACAUUCAAAAUACCAAAAAAUGCC
rnacentral:lncRNA from 1 species